CCUACGGGAGGCUGCAGUGAGGAAUAUUGGUCAAUGGGCGCGAGCCUGAACCAGCCAAGUCGCGUGAGGGAAGACGGUCCUAUGGAUUGUAAACCUCUUUUGUCGGGGAGCAAAAGACGCCACGCGUGGCGUUCCGAGAGUACCCGAAGAAAAAGCAUCGCACAACUCGGGGCCAGCAGCCGCGGUAAUACGGGGGAUGCGAGCGUUAGCGGGAUUUAUUGGGGUUAAAGGGUGCGCAGGCGGAAGAUCAAGUCAGCGGGAAAAUUGAGAGGCUCAACCUCGUCGAGCCGUUGAAACUGGUAUACUGGAGUGGGUGAGAGGAAUGCGGAAUGCGUGGUGUAGCAGUGAAAUGCAUAGAUAUCAGGCAGAACUCCGAUUGCGAAGGCAACAAACCGGCGCUCAACUGACGCUCAGGCGCGAAAGUGUGGGUAGCGAACAGGAUUAGAUACCCCUGUAGUC
rnacentral:rRNA from 1 species